rnacentral:lncRNA from 1 species
GAAGGUAUUAGUAUGAAAAAACAAAUAUUUUUUUAGGAAGAAAAGAAUAAGUUAGCUUUGAUGUAUAUCUGAUCAAGUAAAAGAGGAUCACUUGAAACUUGUUGGAAGCAGUGAGUAUUUUGCUGAGUAUGUCCGGAUGGGCCUGUGCAGUUCUGAGUGGAUUCAAUUAUGGCAGAGCAGCUUUUGUGUACUGCCAAUCUCAAAAUGAAAUUCUGGGCAGCAGGUUAGAUACCUGUUAGAUAUUUGUAUGGACAGAACUUGGCAAAAAUAACAACAGUUCUGCUGCGUUCUGCUGCAUCUUUGUGAGUCCACAGCCUUUCAGCAGGGGGCAGGGCUGUUCAGUGACAGUGUCAGGGUUAGGGUCUUGUUUUCUGUUGUACGUUUCUUGGUUUCUUGUAAGUUUCCUGCUUAAGCAGCCUACCUGUACCUAAUGGUUCGAAAGAUUCGGCUGCAGUCAGACUUUGCAGUGAGGCAGGCAGCACGCUCUGAGCAAAGAGUCUGGCUGGUUUCAGAGGGGUUCUAAAGCAGGCAGCACAAUUUGUUUGCAGAGAGCUUAAGGUUCCUUUGGAUGGUGAAUUUGUGCUUUUAUAGAGCCAUUCUGACACGUCUUCAAGGUCUGGGUUUUUUUAUUUUGAUUUUUGAGGGCUCAGUGAUGUUUAUGGAUAAGCUGUUUCAUUAAGGGCUCCGAGUAUUCAGCCUGUUUCCCUGAGUGAACUGUUGCAAAGUACACGUCGGGGCAGCACAGCUCUGUGCAGGGCUCAGGUUAAACCUUGUGCAGUGUCAUAAUACAGCAACGUUUUUGCUCGUGAGGAUGUUAGUGAUUGAACUAUUCAAUAGUGUUUGAAAGCAGUCUUCAGAGCGUGCUGCUGCGUUGGGCACACAGCUGUGCAAAUACGUUGUUCAAACUUGAGAGCUGCAGCGUUAGGGGCUGUGCGAUAACAGCGCUGCGGUGGAUGGCUCCAUCUGUCCUUUUUUUCUUGUGCAGGUUGCUGAAAGAACAGGAGGAGAAGGAAAACAAGAUUGCUUCUCUGAUUGCAGAGCAGUCUGAUGAAAAGCAGCUGUGGGAGAUGGAGCUAGAUAAGCUGAAGAACCAGCACAAUGAAAUCAACAGGAACAUUCUUGAGGAGACAGAGCGGGCCUGGAAAGCAGAGGAGCAGUUAAGGAUGAGGCUCUUCACGGGGCUGGAGAAGGGGUAAGCAAAUGUCAGUGCAGUAAACGUUAGUUGGGGCUGUUGCUAGAUCCUGUCCCUGGAGAG